UGUUGCUAAGAUGUGUCCAAAAGAGUAUGG
rnacentral:piRNA from 1 species